AUUGAACGCUGGCGGCAUGCCUUACACAUGCAAGUCGAACGGCAGCACGGGAGCAAUCCUGGUGGCGAGUGGCGAACGGGUGAGUAAUAUAUCGGAACGUGCCCAGUAGUGGGGGAUAGCCCGGCGAAAGCCGGAUUAAUACCGCAUGAGACCUGAGGGUGAAAGCGGGGGAUCGCAAGACCUCGCGCUAUUGGAGCGGCCGAUAUCAGAUUAGCUAGUUGGUGGGGUAAAGGCCUACCAAGGCAACGAUCUGUAGUUGGUCUGAGAGGACGACCAGCCACACUGGGACUGAGACACGGCCCAGACUCCUACGGGAGGCAGCAGUGGGGAAUUUUGGACAAUGGGCGCAAGCCUGAUCCAGCAAUGCCGCGUGCAGGAAGAAGGCCUUCGGGUUGUAACUGCUUUGUCAGGAGAAUACUCUGGGUUAACGACCUCGGGGGAGUGACGGUACCUGAAGAAUAAG
rnacentral:rRNA from 1 species